rnacentral:rRNA from 1 species
AUAGCGUAUAUUAAAGUUGUUGCAGUUAAAAAGCUCGUAGUUGAACCUUGGGCCUGGCUGGCCGGUCCGCCUCACCGCGUGCACUGGUCCGGCCGGGCCUUUCCUUCUGGGGAGCCGCAUGCCCUUCACUGGGUGUGUCGGGGAACCAGGACUUUUACUUUGAAAAAAUUAGAGUGUUCAAAGCAGGCCUAUGCUCGAAUACAUUAGCAUGGAAUAAUAGAAUAGGACGUGUGGUUCUAUUUUGUUGGUUUCUAGAGUCGCCGUAAUGAUUAAUAGGGAUAGUUGGGGGCAUUAGUAUUCAGUUGCUAGAGGUGAAAUUCUUGGAUUUACUGAAGACUAACUACUG